UACGUAGGGGGCUAGCGUUGUCCGGAAUCAUUGGGCGUAAAGCGCGCGUAGGCGGCCCGGUAAGUCCGCUGUGAAAGUCCAAAGGCUCAACCUUUGAAUGUCAGCGGAUACUGCCGGGCUAGAGUCCGGAAGAGGCGAGUGGAAUUCCACGUGUAGCGGUGAAAUGCGUAGAGAUGUGGAGGAACACCAGUGGCGAAGGCGACUCUUUGGCCUGUAACUGACGCUGAGGCGACGAAAGCGUGGGGAGCAAACAGG
rnacentral:rRNA from 1 species